AUUGAACGCUGGCGGAAUGCUUUACACAUGCAAGUCGAACGAUAAAGCCUAGCUUGCUAGGUCGAUUAGUGGCGAACGGGUGAGUAAUAUAUCGGAACGUAUCCAAUAAUGGGGGAUAACUAGUCGAAAGAUUGGCUAAUACCGCAUACGUCCUACGGGAGAAAGCUGGGGAUCGUAAGACCUGGCGUUAAUGGAGCGGCCGAUAUCUGAUUAGCUAGUUGGUGAGGUAAAGGCUCACCAAGGCGACGAUCAGUAGCUGGUCUGAGAGGACGACCAGCCACACUGGAACUGAGACACGGUCCAGACUCCUACGGGAGGCAGCAGUGGGGAAUUUUGGACAACGGGCGAAAGCCUGAUCCAGCCAUUCCGCGUGAGUGAAGAAGGCCUUCGGGUUGUAAAGCUCUUUCGCAAGGGAAGAACACUUACUUAAUAACACUAAGUGAGGUUGACGGUACCUUGAUAAGAAGCACCGGCUAACUACGUGCCAGCAGCCGCAGUAA
rnacentral:rRNA from 1 species